GGUCAUAUAGCAGCUGUAUGGCAGCACGGCUGACUGGAUAUGGGAGGGAGCGGAAAUUCAAUUGCGCUUAAUGAGUUGGACGGAUCCGUGACCUGGGAUAACAAAUUUUCAUGACACAGGCCAUGGCAUGGUCCCCCUGGGUGCGUUUCACGCCCCGGGGGUAAAAUAAGGGUUUUGGGUUGCCUCCCGGUUAAGCGGGAAACAAGUGCCUUUUAUGACCCGUAUAUUACAGGCCCCUUGUGAGGGUCGUUGGAAGAUUCCAAAAUGGUGCCUGGGAAGAAUUGGCUGGGCACUGGAACGGCUUGCCUUCCCACACGUGUCCAGUGUUCCCUUGGAAGCCGGGCAUGCCGCAAAAGUGGGCUGAAUCUGACCAAUCUGUCCCGUUGAAUCCCUUCCAUUUAUCGGUUCCCUUGAAAGAAACUUUGCCGGGGGGGGGGUCUUGGUUAACCAUUCCGGGGGGCAAACCUUGCACCUGGAACAAAAUCCUUGAAG
rnacentral:misc_RNA from 1 species